CCUACUGGCGGCAGCAGUGAGGAAUAGUGGUCAAUGGGCUUACGCCUGAACCAGCCAAGUCGCGUGCGGGAAGACUGCCCUAUGGGUUGUAAACCUCUUUUGUCAGGGAGCAACGCCGGCUACGUGUAGCCGGACUGAGAGUACCUGAAGAAAAAGCAUAGGCUAACUCCGUGCCAGCAGCCGCGGUAAUACGGAGGAUGCGGGCGGUAUCCGGCUUUAUUGGGUUUAAAGGGUGCGUAGGCGGAAUGCCAAGUCAGCGGUAACAUUGCGGGGCUCAACCUCGGACCGCCGUGGAAACUGGCGGUCUUGAGUGGGCGAGAAGUAUGCGGAAUGCGUGGUGGAGCGGUGAAAUGCAUAGAUAUCACGCAGAACUCCGAUUGCGAAGGCAGCAUACCGGCGCCCAACUGACGCUGAAGCACGAAAGCGUGGGUAUCGAACAGGAUUAGAUACCCUAGUAGUC
rnacentral:rRNA from 1 species